CAGAAAUCGGAACAGAAAACCGUGGAAUUACUCAGUGAGACCAGCGUUGUCCGUGAAGAGCAAGGAAAGAGCUGACGUUUCAAGUUGAUGACCUUUCAACAGAAUUAGGAAUAGUUAGAAAUCAAAAAUCUUUUCAGCUGCGGAGAAGGCACAGGGGUUAAAAUAAAACAAAGACGAUAUCUGCAAUAAGUGGAGACUGAACUGCUCAAGUUUUGGCCGUGUGAAUGGAAGGAGGGUGGUGAAAGCUUCUAAACUGCACUUGAUUUGAGUGGAGGAGAUAUAUAUGGAAGGAGAUUGAUGAGUGGAAAGAGAGAAAAAAAAAACUACAAGAAACUUGGGAUAUAAGACUUGAUGAAAAUCCUGAACUAAGAAGGCAAAUGGCAUGUUGGCCUUCAUUAUUUGGGGGAUUGAGUUCAAGAGUGGCAAGGAAAUGAUGGAGCUCUAUAAAAUCAUGUACACAAGUACAAAGGAGAAUGAAAUAAUUGCUACUCUGGAUCCGAUGCAGCACAAAAGCCCUUCUCAAUAGUGGUUAAAGUGCAAUUGACGGAAUAAUUUAUGAGGAUUGACAGUUUGACUUUUGGAAUUUUGAAUGAGUAUAAUGUGCCAAGAAAAAUUCACACCUCAAAAUUCAGGAGUCACACCACUAGGUUUAAGAACAGUUACUACCCCUCAACCAUCAGGCUCUUGAACAAAAUGGGAUACCUACACUCAGGUAAAGGCUCUUAAUUAUUGCUAUUGAUUUAUUAUCUGCAUUUUCACAGUUUGUUUACAAUUUGCCAUUCCUGAUGUUUACAGUUUACAGAUCCUGUUUACAGUUACUGUUCUAUAGGUUUGCGAGCAGAAAGAAGAAUCUAAGGGGUGAAUGUGGUGACAAGUAAGUACUCUGAUAAUAUAUUUUACUUUGAACUUUGAAAAUUAGUAGCAGAAUUUGUUUGGUGUUGAAGAACACUUCUGUUUCAAAAAUGUGUUUUUUUUGGCACAAUCAACAAAUGCUUUAUAUUCCAAACAUGAUAAAAUCUGC